rnacentral:sRNA from 1 species
AUAUUAUAUCAAUAAAAUAUACAUCCUAAUUUUUACAACAAUAAACCCUACGACUACAGUCAUCACACCUACAUCAAAAAUUUUAUAGUAAUAAAUCUAUAACUACAUACCGACGAACCAAUCACCCACUUAACAUCAUUUCUUUUUGUUAGUAUCAUUUCUUAAAACGUUUGUAUAGAUAUUGCUAGGUGUCACUUUGAAACG